UACCAUGUUGAAACACCAGUUCUUGUCCGAUCCCUGAAGUUAAGCAACAUGGAGCCUGGUCAGUACCUAAGUGAGUGACCACUUGGGAAUACCAGGUGCUGUAAG